AUCAAGUCCACAUUUAACAAAUUUGAGGAUGACCCCAAGUUGAGUGGAGCUGCAGAAACUCUGGAGGGUAGGGCUAGGAUCCAGAAUGACCCAGCUAGAUUGUAAAA